GACCCGGUAGCUCAGUUGGUAGAGCAACGGACUUUUAAUCCGUAGGUCCUGGGUUCGAUCCCCAGCCGGGUCA
rnacentral:tRNA from 2 species